UACGGAGGGAGCUAGCGUUGUUCGGAUAUCCUGGGCGUAAAGCGCACGUAGGCGUCGCCGUAAGUCAGGGGUGAAAUCCCGGAGCUCAACUCCGGAACUGCCCUUGAAACUGCAGUGCUAGAAUCUUGGAGAGGCGAGUGGAAUUCCGAGUGUAGAGGUGAAAUUCGUAGAUAUUCGGAAGAACACCAGUGGCGAAGGCGACUCGCUGGACAAGUAUUGACGCUGAGGUGCGAAAGCGUGGGGAGCAAACAGG
rnacentral:rRNA from 1 species